rnacentral:rRNA from 1 species
GAUGAACGCUGGCGGCGUGCCUAAUACAUGCAAGUCGAGCGAACAGACGAGGAGCUUGCUCCUCUGACGUUAGCGGCGGACGGGUGAGUAACACGUGGAUAACCUACCUAUAAGACUGGGAUAACUUCGGGAAACCGGAGCUAAUACCGGAUAAUAUAUUGAACCGCAUGGUUCAAUAGUGAAAGACGGUUUUGCUGUCACUUAUAGAUGGAUCCGCGCCGCAUUAGCUAGUUGGUAAGGUAACGGCUUACCAAGGCAACGAUGCGUAGCCGACCUGAGAGGGUGAUCGGCCACACUGGAACUGAGACACGGUCCAGACUCCUACGGUAGGCAGCAGUAGGGAAUCUUCCGCAAUGGGCGAAAGCCUGACGGAGCAACGCCGCGUGAGUGAUGAAGGUCUUCGGAUCGUAAAACUCUGUUAUUAGGGAAGAACAAAUGUGUAAGUAACUAUGCACGUCUUGACGGUACCUAAUCAGAAAGCCACGGCUAACUACGUG